rnacentral:rRNA from 1 species
GAAUGCUGACAUAAGUAACGAUAAAGCGGGUGAAAAGCCCGCUCGCCGGAAGACCAAGGGUUCCUGUCCAACGUUAAUCGGGGCAGGGUGAGUCGACCCCUAAGGCGAGGCCGAAAGGCGUAGUCGAUGGGAAACAGGUUAAUAUUCCUGUACUUGGUGUUACUGCGAAGGGGGGACGGAGAAGGCUAUGUUGGCCGGGCGACGGUUGUCCCGGUUUAAGCGUGUAGGCUGGUUUUCCAGGCAAAUCCGGAAAAUCAAGGCUGAGGCGUGAUGACGAGGCACUACGGUGCUGAAGCGACAAAUGCCCUGCUUCCAGGAAAAGCCUCUAAGCAUCAGGUAACAUCAAAUCGUACCCCAAACCGACACAGGUGGUCAGGUAGAGAAUACCAAGGCGCUUGAGAGAACUCGGGUGAAGGAACUAGGCAAAAUGGUGCCGUAACUUCGGGAGAAGGCACGCUGAUAUGUAGGUGAAGCGACUUGCUCGUGGAGCUGAAAUCAGUCGAAGAUACCAGCUGGCUGCAACUGUUUAUUAAAAACACAGCACUGUGCAAACACGAAAGUGGACGUAUACGGUGUGACGCCUGCCCGGUGCCGGAAGGUUAAUUGAUGGGGUUAGCGGUAACGCGAAGCUCUUGAUCGAAGCCCCGGUAAACGGCGGCCGUAACUAUAACGGUCCUAAGGUAGCGAAAUUCCUUGUCGGGUAAGUUCCGACCUGCACGAAUGGCGUAAUGAUGGCCAGGCUGUCUCCACCCGAGACUCAGUGAAAUUGAACUCGCUGUGAAGAUGCAGUGUACCCGCGGCAAGACGGAAAGACCCCGUGAACCUUUACUAUAGCUUGACACUGAACAUUGAGCCUUGAUGUGUAGGAUAGGUGGGAGGCUUUGAAGUGUGGACGCCAGUCUGCAUGGAGCCGACCUUGAAAUACCACCCUUUAAUGUUUGAUGUUCUAACGUGGGCCCCUUACCGGGGUUGCGGACAGUGUCUGGUGGGUAGUUUGACUGGGGCGGUCUCCUCCUAAAGAGUAACGGAGGAGCACGAAGGUUGGCUAAUCCUGGUCGGACAUCAGGAGGUUAGUGCAAUGGCAUAAGCCAGCUUGACUGCGAGCGUGACGGCGCGAGCAGGUGCGAAAGCAGGUCAUAGUGAUCCGGUGGUUCUGAAUGGAAGGGCCAUCGCUCAACGGAUAAAAGGUACUCCGGGGAUAACAGGCUGAUACCGCCCAAGAGUUCAUAUCGACGGCGGUGUUUGGCACCUCGAUGUCGGCUCAUCACAUCCUGGGGCUGAAGUAGGUCCCAAGGGUAUGGCUGUUCGCCAUUUAAAGUGGUACGCGAGCUGGGUUUAGAACGUCGUGAGACAGUUCGGUCCCUAUCUGCCGUGGGCGCUGGAGAACUGAGGGGGGCUGCUCCUAGUACGAGAGGACCGGAGUGGACGCAUCACUGGUGUUCGGGUUGUCAUGCCAAUGGCACUGCCCGGUAGCUAAAUGCGGAAGAGAUAAGUGCUGAAA